rnacentral:rRNA from 1 species
UACAGAGGGGGCAAGCGUUGUUCGGAAUUACUGGGCGUAAAGGGCGCGUAGGCGGCCUGUUAAGUCGAACGUGAAAUCCCCGGGCUCAACCCGGGAACUGCGUCCGAUACUGGCAGGCUUGAAUUCGGGAGAGGGAUGCGGAAUUCCAGGUGUAGCGGUGAUAUGCGUAGAUAUCUGGAGGAACACCGGUGGCGAAGGCGGCAUCCUGGACCGAGAUUGACGCUGAGGCGCGAAAGCCAGGGGAGCAAACGGG